UAGAAAUAGAGGGAGCCGUGGAGUCUACGAAUGAAGGGGAAGAGAGAGACAGAAAGAGAGGGAGAGAGAAAGAGAGGAAGGGAGAUAGAGAGAGAGAAGUGGAAGAUGGAGAAAUCAACAGAGGAACUUGAACCCCUUUUCGAUUACAGUCGAGUCCAGCCUUUAAAUUUCGUACCCCUCGACGACGAUGAUUCAGAUUCAUCCCCGAAUCUGACCCCUAAACGAAAAAAGCUUUCCAAUUCUUCUGAAGAGAAGAACGAGAAUGUUACACAGGUGAUUGAUUGCAAAGAAAACGAGGAAGAAGAUUGGCUACCUCCACCUCCCAAGCUUUCUGUCGAUGUGCAAAACCAGCUUGGUGAGGAUUCGACUCUAAAGCAGCUCAGGUUAAAGAAGCAGGAGUUGCUGUUAUUUGCUGAAUCAGCCAAAGAUGUGCUGCGAACUGUGGAAGAGUCUGCAAAAAGAGAACUUGGCAGUUCAUUACAGUCUUAUAUUGAAAGUGUUGCAAGCCAACCAUCCAAGCCUCCUUGUGAGAGAGCUAAAAUAGUUAUUUCUAUCCAGGACAAGGAUGGACUCAAGCAAUUUCGCAUAUAUAUGGAUGACAAGUUUGAGCGGCUUUUUAAGAUGUACGCGGAUAAACUUAAGCUUGACCUGAAAAGCUUAAUUUUUUGUUUUGAUGGGGAUAAAAUUAGUCCCACAGCAACUCCUGAUGAGCUUGGAAUGGAGGACAAUGAUAUUGUUGAAGUGCACAUUAAAUCAAGCUAACUGAGGUCUAAUGUACCGGCAAAGAAAGUCAGAGCAAGGGAUGUAAAUAGGUGGAUAGUUUAGAAGUGAUUUCACAGACAUUUUUGGCAUGUUUAGUGAUGCCAUGACACGGGUGGACAAGAGGGAGGGGAUGGUGGAAGCAUGAUAAUGCUAGAAAUUAUUAUGCAGAUCUUAAGCGUGCAUGGGGGAGAAAGAGAGCAACUCCAUGUCUUUUGCUUCAGCUGUGGCUCCAUAAUCAACUUGUGUUGCUCUUUUGGAGCUCGCCAUUUUCCCAACUUUUUGGCCCUCAAUUGCUGUGCUAUGCAAAAUUUUGGGAUUUUCUAGGCAACAACAAUAACUAUUAUAAGCUUAUAAGUUGCUUAAUCACAAGAAAGUGAUUUCAGAACAAAAAACAAUUCUCCCAUGCUUAUGUCCUCAUGUAACUAUAUGUUGCUAAAAUUGUUUAUGGACAGGACCAUUAACUUAUAGUUGUUUGUACUUUGUACAGACAUCAUGGAUUUCUGCUUCUUGAUUUAAAUUAGACGUGGGUGUCAUUGUAUAUUUGCUGAACCCAAAGUCCAGAUUGGAGCUAGAAUCAAUUUAUUCAAGAACAUGCAUGUACCUUGAGAAAAUGCUGAAAUGAAAUCAAUCAAUUUUGUCCUGCAGGGA